AGCGAACGCUGGCGGCAGGCCUAACACAUGCAAGUCGAGCGGGCACUUUCGGGUGUCAGCGGCGGACGGGUGAGUAACGCGUGGGAACGUGCCCUCUGGUUCGGAAUAACUCAGGGAAACUUGAGCUAAUACCGGAUACGCCCUUUUGGGGAAAGGCUUGCUGCCGGAGGAUCGGCCCGCGUCUGAUUAGCUAGUUGGUGAGGUAACGGCUCACCAAGGCGACGAUCAGUAGCUGGUCUGAGAGGAUGAUCAGCCACACUGGGACUGAGACACGGCCCAGACUCCUACGGGAGGCAGCAGUGGGGAAUAUUGGACAAUGGGCGCAAGCCUGAUCCAGCCAUGCCGCGUGAGUGAUGAAGGCCUUAGGGUUGUAAAGCUCUUUUAUCCGGGACGAUAAUGACGGUACCGGAGGAAUAAGCCCCGGCUAACUUCGU
rnacentral:rRNA from 1 species